UACGGAGGGUGCAAGCGUUAAUCGGAAUUACUGGGCGUAAAGCGCGCGUAGGCGGCUUGUUAAGCCAGAUGUGAAAGCCCUGGGCUCAACCUAGGAAUUGCAUUUGGAGCUGACUCGCUAGAGUACAGAAGAGGGUGGUGGAAUUUCCUGUGUAGCGGUGAAAUGCGUAGAUAUAGGAAGGAACAUCAGUGGCGAAGGCGGCCACCUGGUCUGAUACUGACGCUGAGGUGCGAAAGCGUGGGGAGCAAACAGG
rnacentral:rRNA from 1 species